UAUUUUUGACCAUCUUGAGCUGUGAGGCAUCUAUAAAAAAGAAGCUGAAUCACAUGAAAUUCUCAUUGAAUCUGGAAGGCAUGCAAGAGAGGAUUUUAUACCUGUUUGACUUGAUUGAGAACCAGAUAAUGUGCUUUCAGAUAACAUCUGGCAUACUCAUUGAUGUUCCAGGACCUCAAGUUUCUUUAAACGUUCAGGAAGAAGCAAGCUUAACAGAACUAAAUCAUACUAAAUAGACUCUCAAAGUAGUGUAUAAACCAGAAUGCAAUUUAUUGAAAAAGAACUCCUAUCAAUGCAUUGUCUCCCCUAGAGGUCGUAAAACCAUCAUAUAAGAGGAGCUUUCCCUAUGCUGAAGGAA